GGAAAAGAAAGUUUCAAAGAAAAGGGCAUGGUCAACAGUGUCAAAGACCUCAAAGAAAUCAAGGUGGAAGGGAGUGAACUAAAAAAACCAGAGAGAAGUGGAAGGGCUUCAUUUAACAUUGUUUUAGCUAUCCCAGCUUUGCACCAUGUGCGGGUUUGGACUCACAAGUAAGAGCCUUUCCAGAACUGCACUAUGUCUAUCAGAUUCAACCAAGGGAUCCAUCCAACACGCAAGAGACCCUCAAUUUCUCCUUAUAUCAUGAAAGUAAUUUCAUUGGAGCCACUAGAUCUAAUGGCUGGGCUAGACAUCAGGCCAUGUUUUGGCAUCCCAUCCCACGGAGUUACUCAGGCAGGAAAGCCAUCUCAACAUUUGCCCACUACCUGACAUUUGUCCUUCUGCCCCACCUCAACUUUUCACUUCCCUGGAAUAAAAAUCUCUUCCUUGA